rnacentral:rRNA from 1 species
GACGAACGCUGGCGGCGUGCCUAACACAUGCAAGUCGAACGGAAAGGCCCUGCUUUUGUGUGGUUCCCGAGUGGCGAACGGGUGAGUAACAUGUGAGUAACCUGGCCUUGGCUUUGUGAUAACUUGAGGAAGCUGGGGCUAAUACCGGAUAGGAGCUGCUGCUGCAGGGGGGGGGUUGGAACGUUUAGGCGGUUGGGGAUGGACGCGGGGCUUAUCAGCUUGUUGGUGGAGUAGUGGCUUACCGAGGCAUUGGCGGGUAGCCGGCCUGGGAGGGUGAUCAGCCACAUGGGGACUGCGAUACGGCCCAGACUCCAACGGGAGGCAGCAGUGGGGAGUAUUGCACAAUGGUCGGAAGCCUGAUGCAGCAACGCCGCGUGCGGAAAGAAGGCCUUCGGGUUGUAAACCGCUUUAGCCUGUGACGAAGCGUGAGUGACGGUAAUGGGUGAAGAAGCACCGGCUAACUUCGUG